rnacentral:rRNA from 1 species
AGUCGACGAUGAAGUGGAGCUUGCUCCCGGAUUAGCGGCGAACGGGUGAGGAACACGUGAGAAACCUGCCUCGGAUUUUGGGAUAACAAAUGGAAACGUUUGCUAAUACCAAAUAACGUCGGAGAGUCACAUGACUUUCUGACGAAAGGAAUUCCGAUUCGAGAGGGUCUCGCGGCCUAUCAGCUAGUUGGCGGGGUAAUGGCCCACCAAGGCAACGACGGGUAGCUGGUCUGAGAGGAUGGUCAGCCACACUGGGACUGAGACACGGCCCAGACUCCUACGGGAGGCAGCAGUGGGGAAUCUUGCGCAAUGGGCGAAAGCCUGACGCAGCAACGCCGCGUGCGGGAAGAAGGCUUUCGGGCUGUAAACCGCUUUCAGCAGGAACGAAAAUGACGGUACCUGCAGAAGAAGGAGCGGCCAACUAUGUGCCAGCAGCCGCGGUGAUACAUAGGCUUCAAGCGUUGUCCGGAUUUAUUGGGCGUAAAGAGUUCGUAGGCGGUCGAGUAAGUCGGGUGUGAAAAUUCUGGGCUUAACCCAGAGACGCCACCCGAUACUGCUUAACUUGAGUUCGAUAGGGGAGUGGGGAAUUCCUAGUGUAGCGGUGAAAUGCGCAGAUAUUAGGAGGAACACCGGUGGCGAAGGCGCCACUCUGGAUCGAAACUGACGCUGAGGAACGAAAGCAUGGGUAGCAAACAGGAUUAGAUACCCUGGUAGUCCAUGCCGUAAACGGUGGGCACUAGGUGUGGGAUUCUAUUAACGAAUUCCGCGCCGUCGCUAACGCAUUAAGUGCCCCGCCUGGGGAGUACGGUCGCAAGACUAAAACUCAAAGG